CAAGCGGGCCAGGCGAUCGCGCGCUUCGGCGUGAGGAAAGUCCGGGCUCCCAAGGGCAAGAUGCCAGCUAACAGCUGGGCGGGGCGACCCGACGGAAAGUGCCACAGAAAAGAAAACUCCCCUGCUUCGCGGCAGGAGAAAAGCUGAAACGGUGCGGUAAGAGCGCACCAGCGCGCCGGCAACGGCGCGGCUUGGAAAACCCCAUCUGGAGCAAGCGCAAAUAGGAGUGCGAUACGGCCGCCCUUCCGUGCAUUCGGGUUGCGUGCUCGAGGCGCACGGUGACGUGCGUCCAAGAUAAAUGAUCGUCCGCGACAGAACCCGGCUUACAAGCCCACUUGCUCU
rnacentral:RNase_P_RNA from 1 species